rnacentral:rRNA from 1 species
UACGAAGGGGGCUAGCGUUGCUCGGAAUUACUGGGCGUAAAGCGCACGUAGGCGGCUUUCUAAGUCGGGGGUGAAAUCCUGGAGCUCAACUCCAGAACUGCCUUCGAUACUGGAGAGCUCGAGUCCGGGAGAGGUGAGUGGAACUGCGAGUGUAGAGGUGAAAUUCGUAGAUAUUCGGAGGAACACCAGUGGCGAAGGCGGCUCACUGGUCCGGUACUGACGCUGAGGCACGAAAGCGUGGGGAGCAAACAGG